UUAAACACCAACUAUAUUUUAUUAUACUGACAAUUUAUUAACUUUUUAGGUGCAAUAAUGGUAAUAAAAAUCCUUAUCUUUUAGAGAUACAUGCUAAAACAUUUACAGAUUAAAUUGGUAUGAUAUCUGGUUUUGCUUCAAAAUAAUCUUGGUUAGGGGGAAAGUAGUUGAGGGAAUAAAUAAACCAAGAUUGGCCAUGAAUUGAUAAUUAUUGAAGCUGGGUCCCUGGGAAUUCAUUACACUAUUUUCUCUAUUUUUGUAUAUGCUUGAUACUUUAUAUAAUAUAAAGCAAAAAAUAAUGGCAAAUGAUUAAACGACAUUAAAUGCAUAAGAACUACAGGUUGUUUGAGAUCAUUUAAAAAGAGAGUGAAACAAAAAAAUCAUUGAACACCAUUAGAAGUUGUUAGGACAUAACUACUUUGAAAACGGUAAGGGAAGAGAUUUAAGCAUUUAUCUUGCCAUUCUGGUAUGAAUUUUAUUUCGGAGUAAUCAAAUGGUCCUAGAGGAUGUGAAAAAGGUUUUCUGUACAGAAUUAGAGCUAAUAAAUGAGGAAAAAUUAAUAGCCUUAGAAAAUCACCAUUCUGUAAUCCCUAGUGAAACAAGCAAUUCAUAAAAUGAUAAUCAACGGAUAGUAAAACAACUUGGUGAAAAAUUGACCGGAAACUUUAUGAUGCUGGGAUGAGGCUAUCACCAUCUGAAAAUAAAAGAAGCCUGGGAGCUGGAGUGGACAGUGGAGGAGAGCUGUCCAACCAGAAACACCCGUGCCAUGUAGAAUAAGUUAAAAAUAAAUCUGUGGUGUUAAAUCACUGAAAUAUGGGAGCAAUUCAUUACAGAAGUUGGCUUACCAUAAAAGUAUACCAUUUAUAUAUAUUAAAACACAUAGGCACAUAAUUACAUAUAUUUUCAAAGAUACAUACAUAUCCAAACAUAUACUGACACAGGGAGAGGAAUGAGAAUAGGGAUGAGGGAUCAAAAGAAGAGGCCAGGCACAGUGGCUCACACCUGUAAUCCCAGCACUAUGGGAGGCUGAUGCAGGAAGACUUCUCAAGGCCAGGAGUUCAAGACCAGGCUGAGCAACACAGUAAGACCCAAUCUCUAAAAAAAAUUUUUUUUUAAUUAGCUGGACAUGCUCGUGUGCACUUGUAGUCCUACUCAGAAGGCUGAGGUGGGAGCAUUGCUUGAGCCCAGGAGGUCAAAGUUACAGUGAGCCAAGAUCACAUCACUGUCCUCCAGCCUGGGUGACAGUGAGACCCAGUCUCUUAAAAAAAUAAUAAUUUUUUUUUUUGACACGGAGUCUCGCUCUGUCGCCCAGGCUGGAGUGCAGUGGCAUGAUCUCGGUUCACUGCAACCUCUGCCUCCUGGGUUCAAGCAAUUCUCUUGCCUCAGCCUCCUGAGCAGCUGGGACUACAGGCAUGCGCCACCAUGCCCAGAUAAUUUUUGUAUUUUUAGUAGAGAUGGGGUUUCACCAUGUUGGCCAGGCUGGUCUCGAACUCCCGACCUCAGGUGAUCCACCUUCCUCGGCCUCCCAAAGUGCUGGGAUUACAGGCAUGAGCCACCGUGCCCAGUCUAAAAUUUUUUUAAAAAAGAAGAAAAUAAAAUAAGAAAGGGGCCUGGUGAUGGAAUUCACUAUGCUAUGAGAAGCAUGGUUUAACUAUUAAAUAAUUAAAAAUAACAAUUUAAAAAGAAGACAACUAAUCAAUCUGCCCUUUCCAGAGAGAACCCAGGUUAGUUCACUGGGAAUAUAAUUAUCUUCAGCCUUGGGGAAUAGGAGCACAGAAUGGUUCUGGAGAGGAGACAGUGUUGAGGAAUCCUCCACUGUGGUUACCAGGAAGGUCUCAGGUCUAAAACGAUUCCUAAACUGAGGCUUUCUCCUAAGCCUGAUCUUCAUCUUUGGCUCUCCCUGGUGGUGAUGGUACAGGAGGCAUUUGACAUUCUCUAGACAUGGGGUCUGGACCUGCCACCUCCGCCUUGGUACCACCUCUCAUUCCAGGCUAGGGGAGGCUGGACAAAGCACAGAGGUUCAUUCUGGGCCUGGGUGCAUCCUCCUGCCCACUUUCCACCCUGCCUGUGUCAGGCUAAAAGCCCCUCUCCCAAAGAUGUCCAAUUCCUAAUCCCCAGGACCUGAGGAUAAAUAUAAAUUUUCUUUUAAGAGAAGAGUCUUACUAUAUUGCCCAGGCUGGCCUGAACUCCUGGGCUCAAGUGAUCCUCCAGCCUCAGCCCCCUGAGUAGCUGGGACUACAGACACUCACCAGCUGCUUAACCUGUGAACAUUUUAUCUUAAAUGGUAAAAGGGACUUUGAAGGCAGGAUUUAAUUAAGGAUCUUGCCAAUGGGAAGAUGAUACUGAAUUAUCCCAGUAGACCCAAUGUAAUCCUUACAAGUGAGAGGCAGUAGAAUUAGAGAGAUGUAGGGAUGGAAACAGAGGUUAGAGAGGAGAGAAGAUGCUCUGCUGCUGGCUUUGAAGAUGGUGAAAAGAGCCACGAAUCAAGCACUGCAAGCAGCAUCUAGAAGCUGGAAAAAGCAAGGAAACAUUCUUCCCUGGAGCCCACGGAAGGAGUGUAGACCUGUCAACACUUUGACUUUAGCCUGGUGAAGCUGAUUUUGGACUUCUGAACUGUAACAUAAUAAUUUUGUUUUUUGAGCCACUUUGUGGUAAUUCAUUACAGUGACAAUAGGAAACUAAUGUCCUGCCCCAGCUUCUGGGCAGCACUAAUCUGUUCUCCUAGGAGAGUAGGGUCUAAGUGAGUGUAUGGCAUGGGUAGGGAAUCAGAGGAGGCUUCCUGGAAGCCCCUGCAGUCAGGUUGAUCUGGGUUAUUACAGCUCAUUUGUUACUUAACUGACCUUGAGCAAAUUUAUAAGUAAGACUAUUGUUAACAAUGCACUGUUUAUAGGAUUGCUAAAAAGUAAAUUUAAAAAUAUUUUCAAUUAUCUAAUUUGUAAAUUAGCAACUUUUUUUUUCAGUCACAUCUCCUUGUGGGCUUACACAUAUUCAUUCUUCCAUUCACUGAACAGGUGUCACGGAACACCCAGUGUGUGCCUGGCACCAUACACACAAUGAGCUUGUGUCUGCUACAACUCUCAAGCAUUUCUCACUGAAGCUGUCACUGAGCUUCCAGUUAGCUCAGUGCUCAACCUCAAUGCCUCCAUCCUAAAUGCAGGCCUCAGCCGGGCAUGGUGGCUCAAGCCUGUAAUCCUAGCACUUUGAGAGACCGAGGCGAGUGAAUCACUUGAGGUUAGGAGUUUGAGACCAGCCUGGCCAACAUGGUGAAACCCCAUCUCUACUAGAAAUACAGAAAUUAGCUGGGUGGUAGUGGCGUGUGCCUGUAGUCCCAGCCACUCAGGAGGCUGAGGCAGGAGAAUCGCUCGAGCCUGGUAGGCGGAGGUUGCGGUGAGCCGAGAUCAUGCCACUGCGCUCCAGUCUGGGCGACAGAGUGAGACCCUGUCUCAAAAUAAAUAAAUAAAUAAAUAAAAUAAAUAAAUGCAGGUCUUUACAAUGCCCACUCCCAUGGUCUCUUGUCUCAGCCAGCACCGCCCCCGCUUAUCCCCCCAGGCACUGUUUCUGCAGCUUUCAUGAGCAGCCUCUUCUUUGUCUUUACUCUGACCCCGGACAAAAGCCCCCAGUGCACUUGAGGGCAGUAUGCGCCCUCUGAUAUUUUCCACACCCCGUUUUCAUCCCAUCCUCUCCUCUCUCUGCAUUUCUGCCCUUUUUCUUACCUUCUCCUUCUUUGAGCUCCCAAACAGCUGUACCCUAUAAGCCAGAAAAGUCUAGUUAGAGAGAAGCUGAGCCUCAACCAGCCAAGUUAGAGGCAGGUAGAAGGGACCAAAGAUAUGUGUUUACUGGAGUUUCCGGGCUUCUCUGGUGGUGAACUGAAAUCUAAGGUAUUCAGCCAGGAUGCCUAGACCUAAGCGGAAUACCCAGGCAGCCUCACUCACCCCAGCUUUCCAGCCCCACAACACUCUCAGGUGCUAUCCAAUUGACCCGUAAUUCCCUGACCUGUGGAGCCACACCUACUUCUGCAAGACCCAUCUAAGUUUCCUAAUUUCACAGCUCCCCACCCCCACCUCUGCUUCUAACCUCCAGGUCUGAAAUGCUGAGCUCUGUUCCUAUGAUGUCUGGAGCUACUAGCCCUCCUUCCCAGAAAAAUGGUGGGUCCAGGAUUGAUUUUUCCUCCUAUCUGUGAUCCAGACUAGUGCAUCCUUCACCCCUUCAUCCAGUCCAGGCCCAGGGUUUUCUUUCCUGCAGCUCUUCCUCUAAAGACUAAGCUGCCUCUUUAGGAAGAGGUGAGAACGCAAACAUUGUAACAGGGGCAAAAUUGCUUUCAGUCCCUUUGGGCUUCAGUGGUGUUGACUGGCCAGGUGAUGGAGCUGUGGGCAUGUGGGCUUGUGAUCUGGGUUUUCUGACCUGGACGUCGCCACAACUUUACAAUGGGUGAUGCUGGGCAAGUCUAUGCCCUCUUUAGGUCUGACUCACUAGCCUUUCUGCGCACUGACGGGGGCUGGUCUUUAGAAGGCCAUGUUUUAUUUGAGCUUGGAGGUUCCACACAGCAACUCCAGCAGUGGUGCAUAAUGGCCACAAGAGGGCGGGCAACCUCUUCAGCUCAUAAGUGUGUAGACUGAACAAGUGAACCUCAAAUAAGAAUACUAUACAGUGUCUUCCAAGAAGGGUAUAAUUCCAUGAACAAUGUUGCUGAAGAGAAAAAAAAAAGAAAUAAAGGCUGGGCAUGGUGGCUCAGGCCUGUAAUCUCAGCACUUUGGGACGCUGAGGUGGGAGGAUUGUUUGAGCCCAGGAGUUUGAGACCAGCCUAGGCAACAUGACAAAACCCUGUCUCUAGAAAAAAUACAAAAAGUAACCCGGGCAUGGUGAUGCGUGCCUGUAGUCGCAGCUACUUAGGAGGCUGAGGAGGAUC
rnacentral:lncRNA from 1 species